GACGAACGCUGGCGGCGCGCCUAACACAUGCAAGUCGAACGGAGUCAAGAGGAGCUUGCUUUUCUUGACUUAGUGGCGAACGGGUGAGUAACGCGUGAGUAACCUGCCCUGGAGUGGGGGACAACAGUUGGAAACGACUGCUAAUACCGCAUAAGCCCACGGAUCUGCAUGGAUCUGCGGGAAAAGGAUUUAUUCGCUAUAGGAUGGACUCGCGUCCAAUUAGCUAGUUGGUGAGGUAACGGCCCACCAAGGCGACGAUUGGUAGCCGGACUGAGAGGUUGAACGGCCACAUUGGGACUGAGACACGGCCCAGACUCCUACGGGAGGCAGCAGUGGGGGAUAUUGCACAAUGGGGGAAACCCUGAUGCAGCGACGCCGCGUGGAGGAAGAAGGUUUUCGGAUUGUAAACUCCUGUCGUUAGGGACGAUAAUGACGGUACCUAACAAGAAAGCACCGGCUAACUACGUG
rnacentral:rRNA from 1 species